UACGUAGGGGGCAAGCGUUGUCCGGAAUCAUUGGGCGUAAAGAGCGUGUAGGCGGUUCGGUAAGUCGGCUGUGAAAGUCCAGGGCUCAACCCUGGGAUGCCGGUGGAUACUGUCGGGCUCGAGUCCGGAAGAGGCGAGUGGAAUUCCUGGUGUAGCGGUGAAAUGCGCAGAUAUCAGGAGGAACACCGAUGGCGAAGGCAGCUCGCUGGGACGUGACUGACGCUGAGACGCGAAAGCGUGGGGAGCAAACAGG
rnacentral:rRNA from 1 species